AGGCCGGCGCAAGAGGGUGGUCCCUUGACUGGCCAUGAAUAAACGAGACAAGACCUAAGAACACAACAGAGAACACCAACAAUUCCUUCAUGAGACAGCUUUUGGGAGAGGGAAUCUACAAACUCACCUAUUCUUCAUUUUCUUGAAUUAUUUUUGGCAAAUUGGUCACAAGCCAUUGAUGUUUUUGAGUUAAGCCUUUGACAGUCAAUUUAUAACGUUAUGGAGGGAAAAAGGAACUGAAUUUUUUAAGUCAUUGAAUAAAAAACGUGGGAAUUGGUAUCUAA